rnacentral:rRNA from 1 species
AUUGAACGCUGGCGGCAUGCCUUACACAUGCAAGUCGAACGGUAACAGGUCUUCGGACGCUGACGAGUGGCGAACGGGUGAGUAAUACAUCGGAACGUGCCCAGUCGUGGGGGAUAACUACUCGAAAGAGUAGCUAAUACCGCAUACGAUCUGAGGAUGAAAGCGGGGGACCUUCGGGCCUCGCGCGAUUGGAGCGGCCGAUGGCAGAUUAGGUAGUUGGUGGGAUAAAAGCUUACCAAGCCGACGAUCUGUAGCUGGUCUGAGCGGACGACCAGGCACGCUGGGACUGAGACACGGCCCAGACUCCUACGGGAGGCAGCAGUGGGGAAUUUUGGACAAUGGGCGAAAGCCUGAUCCAGCAAUGCCGCGUGCAGGAUGAAGGCCUUCGGGUUGUAAACUGCUUUUGUACGGAACGAAAAAGUCUCCUCUAAUACAGGAGGCCCAUGACGGUACCGUAAGAAUAAGCACCGGCUAACUACGUGCCAGCCGCCGCCGUAA